UCAGUCUCAUGUAAGUCAGUUGC
rnacentral:piRNA from 1 species